rnacentral:rRNA from 1 species
CGGGAUACCCGAGGGAAACUUCGGUUAAUACGGUAUAAGACCACACUACCGCAUGGUAGAGGGGUAAAAGGGGCAACCUGGUAUGAGAUGGACUCGCGUCGCAUUAGCUAGUUGGUGAGGUAACGGCCCACCAAGGCGACGAUGCGUAGCCGACCUGAGAGGGUGAUCGGCCACAUUGGGACUGAGAUACGGCCCAGACUCCUACGGGAGGCAGCAGUGGGGAAUAUUGGGCAAUGGAGGAAACUCUGACCCAGCAAUGCCGCGUGAAUGAAGAAGGUCUUCGGAUCGUAAAGUUCUUUAGUCAGGGAAGAAGUCAAUGACGGUACCUGAAGAAUAAGCUCCGGCUAACUACGUGCCAGCAGCCGCGGUAAUACGUAGGGAGCAAGCGUUGUUCGGAAUGACUGGGCGUAAAGGGUGCGUAGGCGGUUGUACAAGUUAGAAGUGAAAUACCCAGGGCUUAACUCGGGUGCUGCUUCUAAAACUGUAUGACUUGAGUGCAGUAGAGGUUAGUGGAAUUCCUAGUGUAGCGGUGGAAUGCGUAGAUAUUAGGAGGAACACCAGAGGCGAAGGCGGCUAACUGGACUGCAACUGACGCUGAGGCACGAAAGUGUGGGGAGCAAACAGGAUUAGAUACCCUGGUAGUCCACACUGUAAACGAUGGAUACUAGAUGUAGGAGGUAUCGACUCCUUCUGCGUCGCAG